UAUAGUUUCAAUGUGUCU
rnacentral:siRNA from 1 species